rnacentral:rRNA from 1 species
AUCAAUAAGCGGAGGAAAAGAAACCAACAGGGAUUGCCCUAGUAACGGCGAGUGAAGCGGCAACAGCUCAAAUUUGAAAUCUGGCUCUCUUAAGGGUCCGAGUUGUAAUUUGUAGAGGGUGCUUUGGCAUUGAUUGCGGUCUAAGUUCCUUGGAACAGGACAUCAUAGAGGGUGAGAAUCCCGUAUGUGGUCGCUAAUCCUUACUGUGUAAAGCCCCUUCAACGAGUCGAGUUGUUUGGGAAUGCAGCUCUAAAUGGGAGGUAAAUUUCUUCUAAAGCUAAAUAUUGGCCAGAGACCGAUAGCGCACAAGUAGAGUGAUCGAAAGAUGAAAAGCACUUUGGAAAGAGAGUCAAAUAGCACGUGAAAUUGUUGAAAGGGAAGCGCUUGCCGCCAGACUUGCCUAUAGUAGUUCACCUAAGCGUUACACUUGGGGCAUUCUUCUAUGGGCAGGCCAGCGUCAGUUUAGGCAGCUGGAUAAAGGUCUCUGACACGUUCCAUCCUUUGUAGAUGGCCAUAUAGGGGAGACGUCAUGCAGUUAGCUUAGACUGAGGUCCGCGCAUUUGCUAGGACGCUGGCGUAAUGGCUACAAGCGGCCCGUCUUGAAACACGGACCAAGGAGUCUAACAUCUAUGCGAGUGUUUGGGUGUUAAGCCCAGGUGCGUAAUAAACGUGAACGGAGGUGGGAACCCGUGGGUGCACCAUCGACCGAUCCUGAUGUCUUCGGAUGGAUUUGAGUAAGAGCAUAGCUGUUGGGACCCGAAAGAUGGUGAACUAUGCUUGAAUAGGGUGAAGCCAGAGGAAACUCUGGUGGAGGCUCGCAGCGGUUCUGACGUGCAAAUCGAUCGUCAAAUUUGGGCAUAGGGGCGAAAGACUAAUCGAACUAUCUAGUAGCUGGUCC